UAGGGAAUCUUCCACAAUGGACGCAAGUCUGAUGGAGCAACGCCGCGUGAGUGAAGAAGGUCUUCGGAUCGUAAAACUCUGUUGUUAGAGAAGAACACGAGUGAGAGUAACUGUUCAUUCGAUGACGGUAUCUAACCAGCAAGUCACGGCUAACUACGUGCCCA
rnacentral:rRNA from 1 species